rnacentral:pre_miRNA from 1 species
AAAAAGGUAAAUCCUGGUUUCCGUAUCUAACUUUAACUGUUCGUCUUAUAUAAAUUUUUUUUAUAAUUCACAUUUUUAUUAUUGUUAGAUGAUAAAACAUAAUUAAUAUUUUAUGCGUGACUUGUCUUUUUAAAUUUUUUUAUAAUUUUUUCAAAUAAAACGGACAGUGAAACAUUAUACACGAAACC